AUACGAAGGGGGCUAGCGUUGUUCGGAUUUACUGGGCGUAAAGCGCACGUAGGCGGAUUGAUUAGUUAGGGGUGAAAUCCCGAGGCUCAACCUCGGAACUGCCUUUAGUACUGUCAAUCUCGAGACCGGAAGAGGUGAGUGGAACUCCUAGUGUAGAGGUGGAAUUCGUAGAUAUUAGGAAGAACACCAGUGGCGAAGGCGGCUCACUGGUCCGGUACUGACGCUGAGGUGCGAAAGCGUGGGGAGCGAACAGGAUUAGAAACCCUAGUAGUCC
rnacentral:rRNA from 1 species